rnacentral:rRNA from 1 species
GACGAACGCUGGCGGCGUGCUUAACACAUGCAAGUCGAACGGAAAGGCCUCUUUCGGGGGGUACUCGAGUGGCGAACGGGUGAGUAACACGUGAGUAACCUGCCCUUGACUUUGGGAUAACUUCAGGAAACUGGGGCUAAUACCGGAUAGGAGCUCCUGCUGCAUGGUGGGGGUUGGAAAGUUUCGGCGGUUGGGGAUGGACUCGCGGCUUAUCAGCUUGUUGGUGGGGUAGUGGCUUACCAAGGCUUUGACGGGUAGCCGGCCUGGGAGGGUGACCGGCCACAUUGGGACUGAGAUACGGCCCAGACUCCUACGGGGGGCAGCAGUGGGGAAUAUUGCACAAUGGGUGGAAGCCUGAUGCAGCAACGCCGUGUGCGGGAUGACGGCCUUCGGGUUGUAAACCGCUUUCGCUCAUGACGAAGCUUUGUGUGACGGUAGUGGGUAAAGAAGCACCGGCUAACUACGUG